GAAGGAGUUGGCAUCAACCUCAUCAAACCACGGCAAAUUCCGGAGAUUGAGACAUAGACCCACCUACGGAGUUAGCCACUGAGAGGGCAGGGCAGGACUGCCCACACUCACCACACACCCAGACAGUUCAGAAAGACUCUGACUGGAUCUGCGCUCAGAGCCUUGGCCCCGCUUGCAAGAUGGAGUUAUCGCUUGUUCUGUCACCCAGGCUGAAGUGCAGUGGCGCAAUUUCAGCUCACUACAACCUCCACCUCCCACGUUCAAGCAAUUCUCACACCUCAGCCUCCCGAGUAGCUGGGAUUACAGGCGCCCGCCACCAUGCCUGGCUAAUUUUUGUAUUUUUAUUUUAUUUUUGAGACAGAGUCUCACUCUGUCGCCCAGGCUGGAGUGCAGUGGCGCGAUCUCAGCUCACUGCAACCUUUGCUACCCAGAUUCAAGCAAUUCUCCUGCCUCAGCCUCCCAAGUAGCUGUGAUUACAGGCAUACACCACUACACCCAGCUAAUUUUUCUAUUUUUUUAGUAGAGACAGGGUUUCACCAUGUUGGCCCGGUUGGUCUUGAACUCCUGACCUCAGGUGAUCCAUCAGCCUCGGCCUCCCAAAGUGCUGGGAUUACAGGUGUGAGCCACUGCUCCUGGCCUUUAUUUUAUUUUAUUUAUUUAUUUUUUCAGACGGAGUCUCGCUCUGUCACCCAGGCUGGGGUGCAGUGGCGUGAUCUCAGUUCACUGCAACUUCCACCUCCUGGGUUCAAGUGAUUCUCCUGCCUCAGCUUCCCGAGUAGCUGGGAUUACAGGCGCCUGCCACCACAGUCAGCUACUUUUUGUUGUUGUUGUUAUUUGUUUGUUUUUUUAUUUGUUUGUUUUUUUAGUAGAGAUGGGUUUUCACCACGUUGGCCAGGCUGGUCUCGAACUCCUGACCUCAAGGAAUCUGCCCGCCUCGGCCUCCCAAAAAGUGCUGGGAUUACAGGUAUAAGCCACCCCGCUCCGUCUCUUCCAGAGCUUUUUAAGACCUUCCUUCCUGCCUUCACUUACCAAGGGCAGCGGGGAAGGGGAACUAUGGGGUUUUUAUUUGAAGGGGGAGUUACCAUGCAUGGCGGCUGUGCUGGCAUCUGGUAUGACCUAGCAGAGCUCUGAAUCCCAGGCCAGAUGGGACACAGCCCUGCUGUGUCCCUCCCCACUCUGUGGGCCUAUCUAGCCUUUAUUCACUUAUUUCUUUUUUAGAGAUAGAGUCUUGCUUUGCUGCCCAGGUUGGAGUGCAAUGGUGCGAUCAUAGCUCACUGCAGCCUGUAAUUCCCAGGUUCAAGUGAUCCUCCCACCUUAGCCUCCCGAGUAGCUGGGACUACAGGUACAUGCCACCACACCCGGAUAAUGUUUUUCUACCUUUUUUUGUAGAGACUGAGUCUUACUAUGUUGCCCAGGCUGGUCUUGAACUCCUAGCCUCAAGUUAUCCUCCCACCUUGGCCUCCUGAGUAGCUGGGACCACAGGCAUGAGCCACCAUGUCCAGCUCUAUCCAGCCUUUAAAGAAGCAGUUUUUACUACAGAUAGGGAAACUGUGGCCCAGAGAAAGAAAGGACUUGUCUGAGGUCACCCAGCUGGACACCAAUGCCCUCCCUCUAAGCAGGCAGUCCCUGUAUCAUCUUGGCCCCCAGGGCCCUCACCAUCAGAGCAUGUGUUCCAUCUAGGUCAUCAAAUUUCAGUAAAUCAUCGAAGUCGAACAGCUGUGAUGGCUGGAACUCCUCGUCCUCAUCUUCAUCCUCUGUGGAUGCAGAGCCCAGAGCUGAUGAGUUUCCUCUCCCUGACCCAUAGCCCAUAAGGCCUCAACUCUGGGACAGUGGGAACCAAAGGAAAAGGACUCAGGAGCAACAGCUGUGGAAAGGGAAGGAACCACUCACCAUCCUCAGUGGUGUCACUGUCACCCAUCGCUGAGCUAUCCAGAUCCUUCUGGGGUGGCAGCAGGGUGGGGCCUGAGCGAUGGACCAUCUUCUUCUCCACCCAGCCCCUCCGGCGCAAGAGACACCGGAUCACCGGGUAGCAGCCUUGGAUUGUAAAGAUCUUCUUCUGCUGCAAUGUGAGAGAAGGAUACUUCUUCAAUAAGUAUUGCAUAAGUGCCAGACAUAGGGGAUAUAAAGGUGAACCAGACAGUUAUGGACUCUGCCAUCAGGAAAUUUUUAUAUUCCAUUAGGAGAAAUAAACAGACUAUAAAUAAGUAGAGAAAUAAAUAUGCAUGG
rnacentral:lncRNA from 1 species